rnacentral:lncRNA from 1 species
GGGCGGGGAAGUCAUGGCCCAAGUGAAAUAUGGUGGCAGCCACGCCAGGAUACCAGUAAAACAAAUAGGUAUCAAAGCAAGGAAAACUAAAGAAAAUGGGAGAUUCAGACAACAAAUUCCAAGAAUUCUGUUUGGGAAGGAAGUACCGAUUUUUAUGGAUCUAUACCUCAGUAUAAAAAUCUGGGCCAGACAUAAAUUUGUGAACCACUUGGAGGACUAA